rnacentral:rRNA from 1 species
UACCCUGGACGGUGGAUCACUUGGCUCGCGGGUCGAUGAAGAACGCAGUUAACUGCGCGUCAUAGUGUGAACUGCAGGACACAUUUGAACAUCGACAUUUCGAACGCACUGAAGCAUGAGCACUGAGGGCCG